AACGGUCUAUACCUGCGGUACCUGCGGAAGGAUCAUUAUUGAAUAAACUUGGUUGGGUUGUUGCUGGCCUCUUAGGAAGCAUGUGCACACCUUUCCAUUUUUAAAACCCCCCUGUGCACUUGUUGUAGGCCUGGAUAAGCUCGUCGAGAAAGAUUUUCUCGGUUCUGAGAAACUGCUGCGUUUUUAGAAGCCAGCUUUUCUUGUAUUUUCAGGUCUAUGCUUCAUAAAUACCACUCCAAA
rnacentral:misc_RNA from 1 species